rnacentral:tRNA from 1 species
GGGAAAGUGGCUCAGUGGUAGAGUGCUUGCCUUGCAUGCAUGAGGCCCUGGGUUCGAUUCCUCAGCACCCCA